GGCUGGAUCAAGUAUUGAAAUGGAAUCGGGCAAAAAUUAAAUGAAAACAACGAACGUGAUGUGAGAAAUUGCGGAAAAUGUUUGCGCGGAUGAAUGAAAUCCAAAUAUGUACGGGUAACCGAGUUUGAGGGUUUAAUUACUUUUUUUCCCGUUAUAACAAAUUAGUGGUGUCUGCAUUUUAUUACCAGAAUAUUUCGUAAAAUUAUUCGCGUGGAAUUGAAAAUGCUGUAACACAAGGGAGAGCGAAUUGUGAAAAGGUGGAAAAUUGAGGUGAAAAAAGGGAUUGAGGUGGUGUGGAGUCUCGGAUUGGCUCCUACAAGUGGUUGACCCUGGCCCAGAGUCUGGCACAGAGCCCCCCAGUGCCACUGGGUUGACGCAUAUCCCCUUCAGGUUGUAGUGGGUAAAUUAGCCCCCCUCCGAUGCAGAAGAGUCCUUCCACCUUUGUCAUUGGUUCUUUCUCGCGCCAAAUUCCAACAGUGUCGCAUUAUUCCCGCGGCCAUGGCACUCAUCCACGAAUGCCGAUGGACUUCAUGGAAUUUUCAAGGUGACAAUUUCGCUCGAGAAAUCCAGGAGGCGGUGAAUUAAUCCCUAAUUUGCGUUGACGCGGUGGUAAACAAGAGGAAAAACUUGGCUGGCAAUAUGAAAAUAUACGUCGGGAAAAUGCAAAUACGAGUGGAGAGGAUGGGUGUUAUCAACAAUCCCAGUCUCAUCUCUUUCCCCGUGAGCCAACAUUUUCCCGCUGUCGGAAUUACACUUACACCUGACACAUCAGUUGGAACUUUUAGUCAGGGGGAUAUAAUGCAGGAGUGAAGGACGCACUGACUUCAGAGUCUAACAUUUUCCUCCACUUUUGCAUGCCCUCAUGAAUUUCAGAGGGAAUUUCAAAUGAGCGUCGAAGCUAGGAGUAAAGACGAAGAGGACAGCGACAGCUUGAUAAGCUGGUCUUUGAGAAUGAAGUAAAAAAAUAACUUGAAGAAAACCCUAAAAAAUAAAAAAACAAAAAUUACUGCGAACUUUCUGGAGCACCGAUUGGUCUUGAAUUAAUAUUAGACCAUUAAGAUCUCCGGUGCAGUCAUAACGCCAAAACUGCACAUCAGCAGCUGUUCGAUUCUAUCGCUGUAUAUCGCUUCAUGACUAAGAAUUAUUCAAUGGAAUUGUGUGUACAGAAGACGAAUGGACGUGGAGAGUGCCAAAGAUUCAAUAAGAACAUAAACAAUAAACAAUGACUCCAGUGGCCGUGGUGAGAAAGAACUAAGAAUUUUGUAUCGAUAGGAGUUAUCCUUUUGAUAUUCGAGACCGGUACAAAAGGUCGGCUAAAAGAAAAGUUAAUACACAGUGUCUUAAAUUUGAUUUGAUUUUCAAUUGGAUAAUACCGAGUAUGAAGAUCAGAGGAGUAAUAUGAGCGGUUGGCCCUUGAGGGCUUUGAGAGUGGGAUAGUUGGAGGAACUAGGAUAGAUACUUCCUAGACUUGGAGGCAGAACCUCGCGUUAUUGAUUCUACCGCUAAGUGCAUUAGCCCAUGGUGGGCACCAUCUACAAAGAGGCCACAUGCCUUAUGAACAUUUCCCUCCCCCUUCACUUAUCAAACUAACAGAUUCAUCUUUCAGCUAAAGCGCUUCAACUACUCCAGCAUCAGCAGUACCCCUUGCUGGUACUCCAGUGGCUAAUGAAUUUCUGAUAUGUCUUAUGUGUUCAUAAAGCAGAGCCAAUCUUCCUCCAAGGUCUUUGAUGUCAGGAGAUUCAAUCGAGCUGGAGAUUAAUUACAAGACAAAUAUGUUAUUUUUCAAUUUAGAGUUAAAUUUAGAUGAUUUUUUUUUUGGUAUUAGGAAAUGAAAGCCGGUCAAUUCAAUCAAUGGUUUUUAUGAUAAAUAUUUGAAUAUUAAAAAAAGGGAUGAGAAAUUUACGAGCGUAAAUAAAUGAG